UUAUAAGCAGUUGAAUCGAGUAACAAUUGAAAACCGUUAUUCGUAACCUCACAUUGAUGGUUGUUUGAUCAGCUUCUAGGUGGUUGUAUAUUUUCUAAGUUUGACUUGAGGUUUGGAUAUUAUUAGUUGAAGAUUAUCGGUGAAGAUGCCCUUAUGAUAACUUUCAGGACUCGUUAAGGUCAUUUUAAGUUUUGGUGAUGCCAUUCGGAGUGACGAAUGCAUCUACUACUUUAUGAAUUUGAUGAAUGAAGUAUUCCAAUGAUAUCUAGACCGAUUUGUUGUUGUUGUUAUUGAAAAGAUUGAUAAGACUAGAUCAAAGUAUGCUAAACAUCUUAAAUUGGUAUUGCAAAGAUCGAAGGAACGUCGAUUGUAUGCUAAGUUUAGCAAAUGCCAAUGUUGGAUGAAUCAAGUAGCAUUUUUGAGAUAUAUUAUAUCUGCUUCAGGUAUUCAAGUGAAUUCAUAAAAGGUAGCAGAAAUUGAGAAUUUAGAACAAUCACGAAUCGUGAUUGGGAUUUGGAGUUAUCCUAGCUUAACAAGCUAUCAUGGACGGUUCGUGAAAGAUUUUUCAGUCAUUGCUUUGUCAUUGACGAGAUUGUUGAGAAAAGAGGUUAUGUAUGAGUGGGAAGGAAAUUAUGAGCAAAGGAUUCAACAACUGAAGUAUUUCCUCACUCAUGCACGUAUUUUAGUAUUCCCAGAAGAUAGUGGUAAUCAUAAAUUUUAGUGAUGUUUCUUGAAUGGUAUUGGAUGCAUGUUGAUGCAAAUGUUAGGGUGAUUACAUACAUUUCACGACAAAAGGAACCUCAUGAAAUGAAUUACCCUACUGGUGAUUUGGAAGUCAUGAUUACCAUUCUUGCUGUGAAGUUAUGAAGACAUUAUAUUUGGUAAGAAUGCAAGAUUUUUACGAAUCCAAAAAGUCUCCAAUAUCCAUUACUUGGAAGGAUUUUGAUAUGAGACAGCGAAGAUGGAUUGAAUUGUUUAAUGAACAUAAUUGUACGACCAGGGUGAUCGUAAAAUUGUUCUAGCUGAUGCACUUGGUGAAAAGACUGUGGUAGGAGUUGAUGUCUGGCACGCUUGCCAAGAUUAUCUUCUUGUGGAUUGGAAAUCAACUGAAGUAAAGUUGAGAAUGGAAGUUUGAGAAGAAGUUGUAAUUGCUAAUUUUCAAGUUAAGUCUUUUUAGUAAGGUCGUACUCAAGACUCAAAUGGUUAACAAAGAAAAUUAAGAAUUAACCAAGGUAAAGAAAGAAGGGAAAAAGAAAGAUUGCUGAAUUUGAGAAUAGGAUGGUUAUGAUUGAACUUGAAGUGAUAAUUGAUCAAUGUACCAAGUUAGUACAUUUACUCCAGUGUUGAGUAACAACCACAGUGCAACAGUACUUAUAUGUUUUAUGGAGAAGAGAUUUGGGUUACGGAACUGCUGAGUUUCUUAAGUAUGUUGGUUGCACAGUUUCUAAAGUAACGCCAUAAGGACCAUGAAAUGUGUCAAUUUUUGUUGAUUUGUGGAAGAAAUACUUCUGGAUAGAGAAGAUUCGAUCACGAAAGAGUUUUGGUAGGCCCUGAAACUAUGGGUGAGUCUUCUCAAAGUAUUCAAGUGAUUAAGUUUAACCUGAGAGUAGCCAGGAAUGGCAAAAGAGAUUAAUAGUUGAACAUGUCACUAAUCGAGUGUUUAACGUAGAUGAUCUUAUAAUUUUGAAGUUUUCACUUUAGAAAAGUAUGAUUCGGCUUGGAAAGGAAAACAAAUUAAGUCCUAAGUACAUCGGACUUUAUGUGAUCAUCGAAGAGUAAGUGAAGUUGCUUGAAUUACUUCUAGAGUUAUUUUAAGAGCAUGAUGUGUUUCAUGAUUCAACAUUUUUAGAAAUUUCAUCACGAAAAGAAAUAGUGAGAUUUGGAAAGGAGACAAAAUAAGUCUUAAACACAUCAGACCGUUUUUGACCACUAAAGGGAUCGAUGAAGUUGCAUACAAGUGGUGAUGUCUUCAAAAUUGGCUAAGGUGCAUAAUGUAUUAUAUUUCGAUGUGUUGUCACUAGGUGGCAGAUUCGUCACAUGGAGUUCCGGUGCAACUGUUGAGAAUUAAUCCGGAUUAAACUGGUUGAGGAACCAAGGACGACUUUGGAUUGGAAAAAGAAUGUAUUGAGAAUUAAGACAGUGUAAUUGGUAAAGAAUUUGCGAAGAAAGCAUUCAGUGGAAGAAAUUACGUGGGAGAAUCGGAUGAGAGAGAUUUAUCCGAAGCUAUUGUAUGAGUUUAGAUGAUUAAGUUGGUUGUUGGAAUUUCGGGGACGAAAUUCUAUAAGGAGGGAAGGUUGUCACAACCCGUCCCGGAAUUUUAAUUCCGAGGACGUGAAGUUAUGAAAAUGCCCUUAAACGGGACUAAGGGGCGUAAAAUAUGUUGUAAUUUGAUGAUUUGGGGAUUGGGGAGGAUCCCACCUCCCUCAAAUCUCUCCCUCAUUCCCGUGCCUUGUCUCUCUCUCUCUCCUCCCUCACAAAUCUCUCAUUCUCUGAGAGUUCUCUCUCUCUCCUUCGAACUCACACAGACCACCCACAAACCACCCCAAAACUAUGCCAACGAAGGAUCUAAGACCACCAUCGUACUCCUGAAGACCACACGAACACGAUGGUACCAAUUUCAGCUUGUAGGAAGCUUGGUGAGGUCCUAAGGAAGCUCGGAGUGCUUCGUUUGAAGGAUUUGGACAUCGGGAUCACGAACUGAACACGGAGAACGACAAGUUCAAAGUUUGGCCGGAGCUGUCGGGGCUUUUUCCGGCGAAACCACGGCGAGUUAGGGGUCGAGACAGAAAUUCCGGCAAAACACCAUCUCCGGCGAAACCAGUCCGGCGA